rnacentral:tRNA from 1 species
CGGGGAAUAGCGCAGUUGGUAGCGCGCCGGCUUUGGGAGCCGGAGGCCCCGGGUUCGAGUCCCGGUUCCCCGACCA